rnacentral:tRNA from 5 species
GGGCGGUUAGCUCAGCGGAAGAGCGCCUGCCUUACAAGCAGGUGGUCACAGGUUCGAUCCCUGUAUCGCCCACCA